rnacentral:lncRNA from 1 species
CAACGAGACACCGUCCCUGGCACAAGCAGACACUUAAUUAACGCUGAGUGCAUUUGAAAAGUUCACAGUGCUGUGCAAGUACAAGAUACUGUUACUUUCAAGACAAGGAGUCUUUCCAAAUUGUUCCGUUUACAAAUGUGUGUUUAGACACUCUGAGGAAAGAAGGCAAAGCCCCUUUUAAGAAUUGUCCCCUGAGUUUGGCGGUAACCACUGGUAACCACGGGGAGGGUGAGGCUGGGCGUGGUUACCUUUUCUCUAUUCCUUACAAAAUAAUGUAUACUCCCAGGUAGAACAUUAAGCGAGCAAAGGAGGCAGAGAUGACCAGUGAACAGAGUCGCCACUAACGCAGUUUCCCAAAAUGGGAGAGACCAUCAGGGAGGGGAGGGAGCCCGCCGCAUUCCAUUCCUUUGUGACUCGUGGUUUAUCUCUUAUACCGGGUGGGGGAGUUGGGGGGACGGACACGACAGGGACAGGACACUUGUACAGAUGGAUUUGGUGCCACCAGCAUCAGCGUAACGUGACUCGCGCUCCCCUUCCAAGUGGAGAAUCCCAUUGUACAAAACAGAAAGGGAGCUGCUUUGGUUGUCAGGUUGGGGCACAGAACUCCUGCUGGAUGGUUUCCUCACUCCAUCCCUGUCGCAGUCCCUGCAGUGGCUCAAGCAGACCGGAAGGCUCAGUGGAGCAUGGGGUGAAGAACCAGCCUCAGCCCACCCUCCACCCCACACUGAAAGCCUCUUCGUGGCUUCCCUUCACCCACCUCUGAUCACUCCCUUCCUGAGAGAAGUCUCACAGGCAGCCGACCCAUCGCCCAGCACCACCCAGGACGGGAAAACACUUCCUAUAUGAUUGACGACCCCAAUGUGAUUCCCCGUCACUCACCCACAAGUCUCAGUUCUGCCUAAGAGACCACAAGGAACAGGUCUACGUCCUCUUUCACAUGAGUUACAGAGCAUAUCUCUCCCUGGAGCGUCUUUUCCAGAUGAAACAGGCACUUAAACCUAUGAUAAGUGGGUAAAUGAAUGAAUAAAUGAAGAAGCAAACAUAGGAAGGAGCA